AUUGAUUUACAGCUGGUAUUUAUCCCAGGGCUCUGCUUCUCCCUUCACUGGCUCUUCAGGUCCUCUGGAAGCGUCUCCCAGUGCUUACCAAGGAAUGGGCCGUGAAAGUGGUUAUGCUCUUCAGACAGUGCAGCCUGCUAUCGACACAGGGGAUGAGCUGUCAACAUCAGAUACUGCAAAAAUCUCACACUCGGAAAGAGCGAUGGCUGCAGAGACUUUGGUGUGUUUCUUCAGGGCAGGGUUUUCCAGGACACUGGUUUUCCCAACACUGAUUCUAGGGAUAGCAAGGAAAGAGGAGACUGAUGCAGGAAAGCCCACCACGGGAUGUCCAGCCAGAAUGGCUUUGGGAAAAACCCAAAAGCAAUGAAACUUUCCAGGCCUGAAACCCUGCUUUGUGCUGCAGACUGGAUGGGGGUCUCAUGCCCUGAGCUGUCACAUUUCCUCUGGGACCACGGGGCUGGGCCAGGGCAGUUCACUGGCUGUGUCUUUAUUUCUCCAGCGCUCCCAAAGUGUUGCACAUCAGCACAUCCCAGGGCAGAGCAAGUUCAGACCUCUGUCCCCUCCUCCAGUGUUUCCCUUGGCACUUCAGCUACUGAUCCCAGCCGUAUCUUGUUUGACUGAAUUGUUCCUUCUCUGCUUUGCUCAGCUCUCCUCUCUUUGCCAAGUCGUAAAUCUGGGUUUGUAGCUGAUGUUGUUCCCAGAGAAGCAAACAGGGAAAGUGCAGACAGAAGGUCCCCUGAGGGAUGUGAUGAGUGGAAGAAUUGGUCUAUCAGGUGGAAUAGAUCCAAAGUAGUAGUCUGAAAAAUGGGACUAGUGUCCCAGUUUGGAAGGAAACCACCCCUGUUCUAAGUACUGUCUUCAGGGGAAAGCUUUUAAUCUCUGCAUUCCUCCCCUCUGAGAGCUCAUGCUGGUUUGGAGGUUUGAGUCGUGUCAGUUGUUUCAUCAUUGUUUGUUUCAUUUGUUUUUCAUCGGAUAUUUUUCCUUCACGAAGUUGUUUAUGAGACUGAAUUACAAAAAGUGAUUUCCCAGGGGCUGUCCCCACCUGAGCUCUGUGUGGCCUCAGGCACAGGUCAGAGAGCUCUCUGGAGUCCCACAGAGCCAGCACAGAAGACUCGUGACAAACAAAAGCAAGAGCACGAAUUCCUGGCGCCCCGCGUGGGUUUGUUCGGGGUCCGGGUGCAGUUUGAGAGGAGCAGCCGGAGGGAUCAGUGGGACCUGCUCUAGGGUUAUCCUGCCCCACUCUCCGUGCUUUGCACAAAGGCUGGCUAAGGGAGCUUUGGGGGGGAAUUAAGGCAGCUCAGUCACAGCAGGAGGCCGUGUGCACGCUUUUUAACAAACUCUGAAAAAAACCUUCCAACGUGGCAUAUUGGAAGGUAAUAAUUCCACGCUGCACUUGGCUUUUCACUGGCAUCUGUGAAUGUGUCAUAUUCAAUAGUGGAGCAUCUCUAGGCUGGGGAAGUGUCUUCUUAAAAGCACAGAAUGGUUUGGGUUGGAAGGGACCUCAAAGAACAUCUUGUUCCAACCUUCCACUAGACCAGGCUGCUCCAAACCCCAUCCAGCCUGGCCUUGAACACUUGCAGGGGUGGGAUCUUGGUCAGUUGUGACAGGGGAGAGUGGGAGAGCUUCACCUCUUGCCCUGCCACAAAGUCCUUUGUCAUUGCAAGUGGCAGUGCUGCCCUUGCCCACACCCUGCCUUCCUUUCUCCUCCUCUCAAAUUAGGAAUUCUCUUAGGGCAGCCACUGGCCCCAUCUCAGCCUGAGCGGGGCCUGAACACAGGGAUGACUCCUAUUGUUACACAAAUGGCCACAAUCAAUGGUUUUAUGCACCUUAUGGAUUCCCACCAGCUGCUUGGCACAGACAAACCAUGGAUCAGUGGGAGCUGAGACUGUGAAUUGAGCACGCAGUAAAGCCGUGAUUAGCACGGACCAGUUUGGCUGUGUAGCCCUGCGCAGCAUCUUCCGCUGCAGGAAUUAAAAUAGUUGGAGGAAGAGGAUGGUUAGAUCUGCUUAAUGAAUCCUUCAAAACCCUUGGGUGGGAUGCUGUUUAGUAAAAGGAUCUUUUGACAUUCCUUGCAGCUGUAGAAAUGUUUGUGUGCUGUUUAGGGGUUGUUCUGGCAGCAGCAGAGCACUCAGACUCUAUGAAAUAAAGUCUGGCAGCACCUUUAAAGGUGAUUUGGUGCUCAGGAUCUCAGGGAACAGCCACUGCAAACAGCCUCUGAGGGAGUGUCCCAAAGGAGCAGAGAGGGGAGUCCCAGACCUCUUUCCUGAGGAACAGGCCUGAGGUCUGAGCUCUCUGAAUCCCGUGGGCUUGAGUUAAAGAAUUCUACCCCGAAGCCUGGUGAGGAAUUUAAGAGAGUGUAUGGACAGACUGGAUUUACCACAGACAUAAAUUAAUGCUCUCCUUUUGCUCCAGCUGCACUGAGCGAUGUCUUUGUCCCUUUUCCUUCAAAUAAACGCAGAUCAGGACUCCUCGUCCUCAAGCAGCAAGCUGGGCUCUGGUGUGGCUGCAAGGAUUCCUUCCACUGCCCCUCCUCAGCAGGUGCCAGGUUCUUACCUGUAAAAUCCCUGCAAGCCCUGCUUCCUCAAGAUUCUACAGCCUCAGGAGGGUUGGAGAUGGGGAUCUGUUGUGUCAGCAGCUGUGAGGCUGAAGGAGUCUCUGGGUGCAUGCAAAGAGCAAUCAAUGCAAAUUCAGAAAUCCAAGUUGGCAAACUGCUCAGUAGUCACAGAUCCAGCCCGUUGUUUAUUAGCUACAGCAUUUUGAUAAUGAUUAUCAUCCUACAUUAAAGCCUUGGCUUAAUUCCAAUUUUCCUCCCCACAAAUUGGGAACAGUUGCUUCAAGGGCUGGUCUAGUGGCAAAAAACAGAAUGGAGGGGGCAAAGGAGGUGAUGUUAAACAAGGAACAGUGCUGAGGAGCCCCAGGAAGAGAGAUCCAGCAACCCCAGGUACCCUGCACUGGGAAUGAGCACAAAACCUCACCAGCAGCUCCUGCAGGAGACCAUCAGCUCAUCUCACCCUGAUUUCAAGGAGGAAAAAUAUUUUCUGAUACAAACAAGUAGUUUCCAAACUCUUGACCUCGAGUGGUUUUGGGCAUCGCAGAAAGGGGGCUGCAGACCUGCCUGGUGCUUGAUCUGUGACAGCUUCUGGGGGUAGUUCUGUGGCCAGGAGCAUUUGGGUACUCAUUGCCCUUCGUGUUUAUGUAAGAGGUUCCAACUGCUGUAGCCCUAACCAAUACUAUGGGUGAGGCUGGAACUAACCCAGAGUGCAAAUUUGCCCCAUAUUUGGUAAAUUUCUUCGCUUCUGACAUGCUUGCAAAGACUUGGAAGCAAUUACUUUGGCCAAAAUUUUGUAUUUUGAGUCUCUCCCAAUUGCAGUCAAUUACCCAUGAGCAGUUUAAAGUUUGAUGACACAUAUAUAAUUUAAAGUAGUUCUGACACUUGCACAUAAUUUAAAGGAGUUCACGAAAUAACUUCUGGUUUGUAAAUUGGAACGACCAGCGCAGGAGCACAUAUGGAAAAGCUGAGUUUGGUUCCCUGCUGAUUAGUGCUGGCACUGCAGACACAGCCUCCUCUUUGUGCAGCUUGGAGUGUGACCAGCUCAAAUUUUUACAGCAGAAAGUGUUUUCUGAAGCAGCUUUAAAGUGAAUGUCAAAAGAUCAUUAGUUGAUAUGCAAAUGAAGAAAUUAUCUCUCAUAGAAAAGACUUCUCCUUCCCACUGAGGAAUUGAAACUUGUUUUGCCACUUAGCACAAUCUCAUCUCCAAGCCCUGCUUGUGUUACUUGGCAAGUGCUGCCCAAAUCUGAUAACCUUGGCAGUGUGUGGCUUUGAGAUGCUCUGCUUUGUAAGAUGGCAUUUGCAGAGCUGCAGUUGAAAUCCCAGCUGAAGGAAGUUAACAGUCUCGUCACUCCACUGCCCACUAAAACAUCUCAAUGAGAGGAGCAAAACAACUGGCAGAUUGAGAUAAAUCCUGAUUACUUCAGCCCGUCCUCCUGGCCUGCAGAGAAGCUUUCCAAAGCAGAAGGGAUUUUGAAAGGGGUUGGUGGGAGCUGGGAACGUGAUCUUUGGAUGUGCCUGAUGAAGACUUUCAUGGCAACUGUGUCCCUUCUGGCAGAGCCACACGUGUGAUGGUGGUGGCCACGAAAGCUGCAGAGAGUUGCAGCUGGAGCUGUAGGACCAGACCAGAAUCUGGGGUUUUUUCAGCAGCCUCAGCUAAGAAUGACUUUUACUGUCUCUUGUGCAGCACUGGGUGCUUUGAGAGCCCGUGGCAGAGGAAAGCAGGACCCUGUCAUGCUCUGGGGGUCUCUGAGCAGUUGCCUCUGUGACUCUUGCUUGUGCCUCUCACCCAGCCCUGAGUUAGAUCUGCAGGCAAUUGUGGGAACAGCAGUGGGAACCUCUUACAUAAACAUGAAGGGCAAUGAAUACCCAGAUACUUCUGGCCACAGAACUACCCCCAGAAGCUGUCAG